CUUGGUGCACUUGCCACAAUGGAACCACGCCGAUCCAUCUCGAACUCGGCUGUGAAACAUUGCGGGGGUGACAAUACUUUCCGGGUGACUGGGCGGGAAGAUAGCCUUGUGCCAAGA
rnacentral:rRNA from 1 species